CAGUCGCCGCGGUAAUACGAAGGGGGCUAGCGUUGUUCGGAAUCACUGGGCGUAAAGCGCACGUAGGCGGAUUUUUAAGUCAGGGGUAAAAUCCCGAGGCUCAACCUCGGAACUGCCUUUGAUACUGGGAAUCUGGAGUCCGGGAGAGGUGAGCGGAACUGCGAGUGUAGAGGUGAAAUUCGUAGAUAUUCGCAAGAACACCAGUGGCGAAGGCGGCUCACUGGCCCGGUACUGACGCUGAGGUGCGAAAGCGUGGGGAGCAAACAGGAUUAGAUACCCCAGUAGUCCCUGUCUCUUAUAC
rnacentral:rRNA from 1 species